rnacentral:rRNA from 1 species
UUCUACAGCCAUACCACCCUGAAUGUGCCCGAUCUCGUCUGAUGUCAGAAGCUAAGCAGGGUUGGGCCUGGUUAGUACUUGGUAUGGGAGACUGCCUGGGAAUACCGGGUGCUGCAGGCC